AGCAACCUACUCCAGUAUUCUUGCCUGGAAGAUUCCAUGGGCAGAGGAGACUGGUGGGCUAUACAGUCCAUGAGGUUGCAAAGAGUUGGACAUUACUGAGCAUGCACACACACACGCCUUUCAUCUCACCUGCCGGGUGUCUUACUGUGGCUGCCAGUCUUUCGCAGGGCAAUGAACACACACACACUCUACAAACUGCUGCAAAUGUUCCAGCCUUGAGUCAGGACUGAAACAAUGCAAGUUGUCUGGAAUCAUAUUUCCUUGCCAGUCAUUCCUGGUAUUAUGGUUAAGACCUGUCUCCUGCAUUCCGCCUUACCUACUUGUUUUCUUGGGAGACAUCAUGCAAGUCUGUCUCAGACACCCCAGGUCUCGAUGGGAAGCCUGAGGCUCAGAGGGACUGGAACAUGCCGAGGGACGUGGCAGGGAGAGGACUCACACUCAGACUCUGGAUCGCCUUCUGGGUCCUGAAAGAGGAUCCAACCAGUCCAUCCUAAAGGAGAG